AUUGAACGCUGGCGGCAUGCUUUACACAUGCAAGUCGAACGGUAACAGGUUAAGCUGACGAGUGGCGAACGGGUGAGUAAUGCAUCGGAACGUGCCCGAUCGUGGGGGAUAACGCAGCGAAAGCUGCGCUAAUACCGCAUACGAUCUGAGGAUGAAAGCGGGGGACCGUAAGGCCUCGCGCGAUCGGAGCGGCCGAUGUCAGAUUAGGUAGUUGGUGGGGUAAAGGCCCACCAAGCCGACGAUCUGUAGCUGGUCUGAGAGGACGACCAGCCACACUGGGACUGAGACACGGCCCAGACUCCUACGGGAGGCAGCAGUGGGGAAUUUUGGACAAUGGGCGAAAGCCUGAUCCAGCAAUGCCGCGUGCAGGAAGAAGGCCUUCGGGUUGUAAACUGCUUUUGUACGGAGCGAAAAGGCCCUUUCUAAUACAAGGGGCUCAUGACGGUACCGUAAGAAUAAGCACCGGCUAACUACGUGCCAGCCGCCGCGGUAAAAC
rnacentral:rRNA from 1 species